CAUUAUUUCUGUCAGGUCCCGUUCUUGCCGGUGAUGGCCGUUGGAUUUGCAAUAGCUCCAACUUUUAUUUUCCUCUUGAUUCGAGUAACUAUGGUUGCUGCAAAAGUGGUUUGGAACUGCGGUUGUGGUUGCCGCUGUGAUGAGUCGGGGGAAAAAGGGAUUCAACGCAUUUAAUUAUGCGGAUUGCGAAUAAUUGAGGAACCAGAUGAAGAUGCAUUAAGAAGAGUUAUACUGUGUUUGGUUUAUAUGCUCAUAUGUUAAUUAGAUUAUUUUCUUUCCUCGUCUUUGUUAU